rnacentral:rRNA from 1 species
CAAGUCGAGCGAGCGGAACCAACAGAUUUACUUCGGUAAUGACGUUGGGAAAGCGAGCGGCGGAUGGGUGAGUAACACGUGGGGAACCUGCCCCUAAGUCUGGGAUACCAUUUGGAAACAGGUGCUAAUACCGGAUAAUAAAGCAGAUCGCAUGAUCAGCUUUUGAAAGGCGGCGUAAGCUGUCGCUAAGGGAUGGCCCCGCGGUGCAUUAGCUAGUUGGUAAGGUAACGGCUUACCAAGGCGACGAUGCAUAGCCGAGUUGAGAGACUGAUCGGCCACAUUGGGACUGAGACACGGCCCAAACUCCUACGGGAGGCAGCAGUAGGGAAUCUUCCACAAUGGACGCAAGUCUGAUGGAGCAACGCCGCGUGAGUGAAGAAGGUUUUCGGAUCGUAAAGCUCUGUUGUUGGUGAAGAAGGAUAGAGGUAGUAACUGGCCUUUAUUUGACGGUAAUCAACCAGAAAGUCACGGCUAACUACGUGCCAGCAGCCGCGGUAAUACGUAGGUGGCAAGCGUUGUCCGGAUUUAUUGGGCGUAAAGCGAGCGCAGGCGGAAAAAUAAGUCUAAUGUGAAAGCCCUCGGCUUAACCGAGGAACUGCAUCGGAAACUGUUUUUCUUGAGUGCAGAAGAGGAGAGUGGACUCCAUGUGUAGCGGUGGAUGCGUAGAUAUAUGGAAGAACACCAGUGGCGAAGGCGGCUCUCUGGUCUGCAACUGACGCUGA